rnacentral:rRNA from 1 species
CACCACAACAGGUGGAGCCUGCGGUUUAAUACGGACUCAACGCCGGGAAACUCACCAGAUAAGACAGCUGAAUGAUAGUCGGGCUGAAGACUCUACUUGACUAGCUGAGAGGAGGUGCAUGGCCGUCGUCAGUUCGUACUGUGAAGCAUCCUGUUAAGUCAGGCAACGAGCGAGACCCACGCCAACAGUUGCCAGCUCGUCCUCCGGGAUGGUGGGGACACUGUUGGGACCGCCUCUGCUAAAGAGGAGGAAGGAAUGGGCAACGGUAGGUCAGCAUGCCCCGAAUUAUCUGGGCUACACGCGGGCUACAAUGGGUGGGACAAUGGGUAUCGACACCGAAAGGUGAAGGCAAUCUCCUAAACCCAUCCGUAGUUCGGAUUGUGGGCUGCAACUCGCCCACAUGAAGCUGGAAUCUGUAGUAAUCGUGUCUCAAAAUGGCACGGUGAAUAUGUCCCUGCUCCUU